GCUGUGUAGUAUAAGUAUCAUAUUGGAGCUCAUAGUGUAAAUCAGCAAUUCAGCUUUUAGGAUUGUCACACUUUUCCUCUUUGCUCAUAAACACAGGCACACUGCACCUCCUCGAAUGUCUCCGAUGUCUUCAUCAAUAACUCGUCACAGACCCGUGUGUCUCUGCUGCCGUCCCGCAGUGAUGGAGACCUGCCCUUCACCAGGAGGCUCCUAGAGACCGGAUGUGAUCCCAACAUCUGUAACAACCGUGACUGCACUGGCCUCCACCCAGCUGCUGUCUGAGGGAACGUAGACAUGCUGCCUCCUGCUCAAGUUCCUGGCUGAUCCAAAUACAGCACUACACUUGCGUGGUCAUGUGGAUGCAAUACAGUUCCUGGUGUCCAGCAGGCUGAAGAUGUGCAGGAAAAAACCGAGAAAACGGUACGCUGGAAUCUUCUGAGACCCACUCGAACAGUUCCUGGUGUCCAGCAGGCUGCAGCUCAACAUCUGUGAUGGAGAGCUGCUCCUUAAUAAACCCAAACCUGCAGAGCAGUGAGGACGUCCUGCUGCUUCAGCACCUCCUGGUAGGAGUUUGUGGAGGACUGCGGUUUCAUGUGGGUCCUGCUGCUGCUGAUAGAUGUCUUUGCUCUCUUCCUGCUCUGCACUGCCUGCUACAUUUUCUGUCUUUCUCAUAAAUGUAUUUUAUG